UGCACCCGAAACCCACCCAGGCCCAGCACACGAGACCCACGCACCCAUUCGCACUGCCGCCUCCGCGCGCUCACACUCGCCAGGCACGCGCGCCGCGCCUCCUCGCCGUUUCCGCGUUUCCUUCCUCAACGGCGACCCCGAUGCCACGGCCGGAUGCCACAAUCGGCAACCCGGUGCACGCGCCGUCGUAUAUAAGGAUGCCUCGUUUCCCUAGCCCUAGCCCGCGCCUCCUCCGAACCUCACCCGCCGCCGGCCCCCGAAACCCUAACCCACUCCGGCGAGUAGAUCCGGCACGUCCUGCUCUCUCCGCCACCAGCCGCCAGAGAUGGCCGCCCGCAAUCCAUCUGCGUCCGCCGCACACCCGCUCCACCAGGAUUCCGUUGCCGCCCCCAACUCGCCCCUGCUCGCCGCCGACCCGCUCCACCAGGCUGCCGUGGCCAACCCCAACUCUCCCGUGCUCGCCGCCAACCCGGUCCACCAGGCCAGCGCGGCGGCGUCGGCGGGGAUGUAUGGCGCUCCUGGGGCCCUCCCAACCGAGCAAGGGUCUUUGACGGUGCUGCCGCCCCCGCCGCCGCCACAAGGCGCGCCUGUGAUGAAGACGGUCCAGGGCGUGAACACAUGAUGGCUUCGACGCCCCUGCAAGGACCCCCGGUGAUGCAAGGGGCAAACACGGUGGUGCCGAUGCCCCUGCGGGAGCUGGUCAUGACCCUGCCCCUACAAGGCAGACCUGUGAUGGCACCUCUGCCUUUCCCCAGGGGUCCUCCAUCCAUGAAGGCACCUCCGUCCUUCUAUGAUGUCGCUUCACCAAUGACGGUGCAGCAGCCUCCACAUGCCGGAUACAUGAUGAGCCAGCCGCUGUUGCGUGCCAGCCCUCCACCGAUGGCGGCGCUGCAUCUCCCACAGGCCGUACAGAUGGUGGCACAGCCGCCUUUGCCAGCUGGCCCCCUCCUCUCAAGCGUCACCGUCCUGACUACUUUGACAUGCCUUUUGGACCGCGGAUGACUGGUUUUGAGCUGGAAAUAGCUGGAUUUGAUGAAUCAAUGGGACUGCCUUAUGGGUCUUACAUAAACAAUGAGAUGCCUUCUGUUGGUUCUUAUUAGCCACAUCUUCCUUCAGACGCAUCAAACACCCUACAUGUUGAAGGUUUCCCACCCAACUGUACUAGACGGGAACUUGCACAUAUCCUUUGCUAUUAUUAUUUUGAGUUUAUUUGUCAUUUUAUUAAUAAGGGAACUAUGUUGUAUGUUUAUGUUCUUACCAAUCCUAUGUCUCAGUCUUUUCUUUUGUGUUUUAGCUUGCACCAUUUAGGGCUUCAGCUCCUUGACUCUUGCUUCUCUAGAUAUAUUU